GUCAACUACCCCGGCAUAAAUGCCGGAGCCUGGAGGGGACAACCGAAAGGCUUUGUUGACCAGGGGGCACAGGAUGUUCUGUGCAGACGUGGACAAUAGGUCGUUACGACCCACUCCGGGAUGCUUCCUCAGUCCCGGACA
rnacentral:sRNA from 1 species